rnacentral:rRNA from 1 species
UACGUAGGUGGCAAGCGUUGUCCGGAUUUAUUGGGUUUAAAGGGUGCGUAGGCGGCCCUGUAAGUCAGUGGUGAAAUACGGCAGCUUAACUGUCGAGGUGCCAUUGAUACUGCAGGGCUAGAGUACUGUUGAGGUAGGCGGAAUGGACGGUGUAGCGGUGAAAUGCUUAGAUAUCGUCCAGAACACCGAUAGCGAAGGCAGCUUACUAAACUGUAACUGACACUGAGGCACGAAAGUGUGGGGAUCAAACAGG